CCAGGGCAGGCAGCCAGCAGCCCUAAUG
rnacentral:SRP_RNA from 12 species